CCAUGUCCCAUCUGUUUCUUGAAAUUUACACCACAGUUUGUAGAGAUCCAUGCUAGCAUGUGUGGAGAAAGAGAAAAGGACAAUCUUAAGAUGGCUGAGACAACUGCUGCGAGCCAGAACAAUGGAGAGGAGCACAUCAAAAGGUAAAUACUGUGUUGUCUAAAUACAUAAACAUCUUCAUCCUACACAGAUCUUAAUUCUGCAGGUUUUGCAGUCAACAUUAGUAGCUAUUUAUUGAUUCUAAGUUUGGUUUGGCAGUGUUGAUGAUGUAUUGGAUGCCAUGUGUGGAAGAGUUGACCUAGAGAAACAGUUCAACAUCCAAAUCUCCAGAACAAACAUUCUGGAGAGAGGCCUACUGCAGUGGCAGCGUCAAAAAAAAAA